AGUUUUAUAAUUUAAUAAAAAAUGUUAAAUUGCAAAUUUAAUUAUAUCGUUAAAAGGAUUAAGACUU
rnacentral:tRNA from 1 species